rnacentral:rRNA from 1 species
CUACAGGCUUAACACAUGCAAGUCGAGGGGCAGCAUGGUCUUAGCUUGCUAAGGCCGAUGGCGACCGGCGCACGGGUGAGUAACGCGUAUCCAACCUGCCUUACACUCUUGGACAGCCUUCUGAAAGGGAGAUUAAUACAAGAUGUUAUCAUGAGUAAGCAUUUUCGCAUGAUUAAAGGUUUACCGGUGUAAGAUGGGGAUGCGUUCCAUUAGAUAGUAGGCGGGGUAACGGCCCACCUAGUCUUCGAUGGAUAGGGGUUCUGAGAGGAAGGUCCCCCACAUUGGAACUGAGACACGGUCCAAACUCCUACGGGAGGCAGCAGUGAGGAAUAUUGGUCAAUGGACGAGAGUCUGAACCAGCCAAGUAGCGUGAAGGAUGAAGGUUCUAUGGAUUGUAAACUUCUUUUAUACGGGAAUAAACGAAUCCACGUGUGGAUUUUUGCAUGUACCGUAUGAAUAAGGAUCGGCUAACUCCGUGCCAGCAGCCGCGGUAAUACGGAGGAUCCGAGCGUUAUCCGGAUUUAUUGGGUUUAAAGGGAGCGUAGAUGGGUUGUUAAGUCAGUUGUGAAAGGUUGCGGCUCAACCGUAAAAUUGCAAUUGAUACUGGCAGUCUUGAGUACAGUUGAGGUAGGCGGAAUUCGUGGUGUAGCGGUGAAAUGCUUAGAUAUCACGAAGAACUCCGAUUGCGAAGGCAGCUUACUAACCUGUAACUGACAUUGAUGCUCGAAAGUGUGGGUAUCAAACAGGAUUAGAUACCCUGGUAGUCCACACGGUAAACGAUGAAUACUCGCUGUAGGCGAUAUACAGUCUGCGGCCAAGCGAAAGCAUUAAGUAUUCCACCUGGGGAGUACGCCGGCAACGGUGAAACUCAAAGGAAUUGACGGGGGCCCGCACAAGCGGAGGAACAUGUGGUUUAAUUCGAUGAUACGCGAGGAACCUUACCCGGGCUUAAAUUGCAACCGAAUAUGGCGGAAACGCUAUAGCUAGCAAUAGCGGUUGUGAAGGUGCUGCAUGGUUGUCGUCAGCUCGUGCCGUGAGGUGUCGGCUUAAGUGCCAUAACGAGCGCAACCCUUGCCGAUAGUUACUAACAGGUCAUGCUGAGGACUCUGUCGGGACUGCCAUCGUAAGAUGUGAGGAAGGUGGGGAUGACGUCAAAUCAGCACGGCCCUUACGUCCGGGGCUACACACGUGUUACAAUGGGGGGUACAGAGGGCUGCUACCACGCAAGUGGAUGCCAAUCCCAAAAACCUCUCUCAGUUCGGAUUGAAGUCUGCAACCCGACUUCAUGAAGCUGGAUUCGCUAGUAAUCGCGCAUCAGCCACGGCGCGGUGAAUACGUUCCCGGGCCUUGUACACACCGCCCGUCAAGCCAUGGGAGCCGGGGGUACCUGAAGUGCGUAACCGCAAGGAGCGCCCUAGGGUAAAACUGGUGACUGGGGCUAAGUCA